AGCAGUAGCCACGGGAAUACGGAGGAUCCAAGCGUUAUCCGGAAUCAUUGGGUUUAAAGGGUCCGUAGGCGGUCUUGUAAGUCAGUGGUGAAAGCCCAUCGCUCAACGGUGGAACGGCCAUUGAUACUGCAGGACUUGAAUUAUUGGGAAGUAACUAGAAUAUGUAGUGUAGCGGUGAAAUGCUUAGAGAUUACAUGGAAUACCAAUUGCGAAGGCAGGUUACUACCAAUUGAUUGACGCUGAUGGACGAAAGCGUGGGUAGCGAACAGGAUUAGAUACCCCUGUAGUCCCUGUCUCUUAUAC
rnacentral:rRNA from 1 species